rnacentral:sRNA from 1 species
AUGACUGUGACCGUGGGACAUAGGGCCCCUAAUAUUGUGAGGAUGGCAGAUUGUUUGAACCACCCCCCACCCCACAUUUGCAACAACCAGAUUGAGGCUGCAGUGCUCAAAGACAGCAGUCUCGCGGUCCUCUCGCGAGAGUUGGGCGCUCUGGACAAACAUAGUGGUCUGAUGCUUGGAAUGUACCUCAAUGUUCCAAACACCACCAUUGUCAACAUCGCAAAUGCCGCACAGAUGACGGAUACAGUGACGUCAGCGACAGAACCCGGAUUGACACCACAAAGAAAAUUCUUCUCACGUGGAAUGACAUGCGUCCCAAGAUCAAAGAGCGCGAAAAAGGAAAAGAGCUUGCGCGCGCAGUCACGGAAAUGGGAAAAUCGGAAAUGGCUUCUGUGAUCACUGAAAAACACGGCGAAAAUGCAGAACUGACGGCAGACGCUUUUACC